AGCCCUCACCAUAGAGUAGUGAUGCAACCUUACACUUUGUCUUGGAGAAGCGGAGUUAAACGUAGGACUAGUACUCUGGAGCUGUUGACUGAAAGAUGGAAAAGCUUUUCAGAAGGAAAGAAGACAAACUGAAGGACUGAUACGUUUAGAUCUGACUUAAUGAUGGGCUGUAGUUUCAGACCCCAGAUUCCCAUCGGAUGGUACUGUCUCCUACUCGACUACUUUAGUUUAAAGGAGAGUCAGAAUGAAGUGGCAGAGAUACAUCAGCUCUCUUCUCAUCCUAAUUUCCUGAAUGACUGAACUCUGGGCUUGAACUCGAUUGAAGGAUGACCAACAAGCAAGAAUAAACAAUAAAAACUUAUGACUCCCUAAUUUCUGUAGCUAUCGAAAAAUAUCUCUAAGCCAGGAACUGAUUUAUCUUGCCGGUACAUAUCUCAAAAGACGUUCUGUCACAACACAGAUGUUUCAGGUCAUGACACACAGACCUUACACCUCCACAGAUUGUGUCCUUCUGCUAUUCCUCAGUAAAGUAAAGCUUCAAGCCUUGGAGAGACUACCAGAACCAGUAGCUGGAGCACUUGUUCUGUCACUGCUGACAAACACCGAGAGCAGGAUCACUAAGUGAUUCCACACUCCCUAGCAUCUAUUUAGGAUGACUUCACUCAUUGCAAAGAGGGAAGCAGUUUCCCAAGUAUAUAAAAAGCUAGCUGCCCAUUCUAUAAGUUAUGUUCUGCUGCAUUUAUUUCUCUUGGUUCAUAUUAGAAAGGAAUUCAUGAUGAUCUGUUUCUGAGAAAGAACCAGUAUUUCACAGGAAAGGAAGAAUUCCUUAAAAUUCAGCUUACAACCAGGUCUGUUCAUUUAAAAUGAUCCAGCAUCAUUCUAAGUGACAGAACAGAAUUUUUACAUUUCCUUGGCAUAAAAGGAUAUCUGUAAAUCAACUUCAUGGCAGAAUGUGAAUGAGUUAUCUUUAUGAAAGUGUAGUAUAAAUCUCAAAUAAAAAGGCUUCAGAGACAUCAGAGUAUAGAUUCAAAGAACAUUCAUCACAUAGCUGAAUCCUUGUUUAAUUUACUAUAAAUAUGUAUAAAUACAUUACAAGUCCAUUCCUCCAAUAAGAAACCAAGAAUAGAAUGCAGCACAUAGUACUAAUGUUGUCUUAAUGCAAAUUAAACAUUGAAAUAUAAAACAACAAUGGCACAAACGUAAAGGCUGAUCUGGACCUAAACCUAAAAGAAAAUGCUUAAUUCAGUACACCACUAAGAAUUUCACUGUUAUUAGCCUGAAUGUUGAACUUUAUUAUCAGCUUAAUCUCCUUCUCUUUAAGAAGAGUAUUUCAAACAUAAUUUUUUAAAGUGCUAGGCUGUCAUGGUUUUAUGACUUACGCUAUGUAUUCCACAUCAUAACAUCAUAUGCUUUCAUGGCAAGUAAUUGAUCUAUAAGAGUUUGAGUCUAUAUUUUUCAUGCAGAGGUUUUUUCUUUGAUGUGGAGUCUCAGAUUCAUGAGCUUACUAUUGCAAUGGAAAAAUAUUUUCUAGUAUGGAACCUUUAUGUCAUAUGGAACACUCUUUUGGGGUCUUCAAUUUACUUCUGUUGACCUGGUCCUUGCCUUAGGUGCUCACAUCUUUUAGAUUUAAAGCAGCAAUGGAUUUACUCAUUUUUAGCUUUUGAAAAUUAAUGCAAGUUCCUUAAACAGUUUGAAUGUAUAAUUUCUCAUGUUUAGUAUGUGCUGUAAAGCAGGUUGUACAGCUGCAGCCAGGAUGGAUGUUAGGUAUGCCCUGAGGCAGACUAGUUAAUCUAGUUAAGAACCUGUUUGAAAAGAUAUGUUUGAAUUCUGAUGCAUACAGCAGGAAAAUAUUUCUUUUUUAUUGUGCUACUCUUGGGUUUAUUGUGUUGGGAAGACUAUGGGUGAUAUGUUGACAACAGUGUUUGAUGAAUCAUAAAAUCUGGGCUGAAAUGCUUUAGAGCAAUGAUGCAUUCAAUAUAUUUUCUCUCUUUUGUAACUCACAUACUAUGGGCAGCACUAUUUCCACACUAAAAUAACAUUUAAUGAUCAUGGAAACAGAAGUCCUGAUUUGUUUCAGUAAAUACCUAUUUUAGUACAUCUGACAGCUAAUCUCUAUAUUCUUUUAUUCUCCUCUCUCUCAACUUUCUGCUGUAGUGGACAUUCAGAGUAGAAGGGACCUUGUGCAGUAAUUUGCCCAAUAAUUUGCCCAAUGAAACAUGCUCUGUGCAAAUCGGUACAGGGCUCUUCCACAAGAGAAUCUACUACUUCACAGAUAGAAGCAGCUCUGCUCCUAUUAAUUUUAAAGAUAAUCAUUAGAUUCCAACUUUUGAUUUUAAAAAGAUAAAGUUCACUUUUUAUUUUAGCAUACAGUAGAUAAUUUAAUACUGUUUUAUAAUUAAUGAUUCUGAAUGAUAUGCAGAUUGAUUAAGAAGCAAGGAGAUGAAUUUCUGACUACUAUUCAUGUCGAGACACAAUUUUUGCCCCCUGUUUCAAUUUAAAUCAUUGCCAGUUAGAUUAGAUGGCAUGAUCUCACGUGAAUAAUAUUUGCAUGAGAAUUUUAGCUAAAUGUGUUUCUUAUAACUAAAAUAAAACCCAUCAGCAUUGUUUCAUGGUAAACUAUUAAAAUUAUUACACAGUCACUAGUAUCUGAACACUGCUUUUCUCCGUCCAGUCCUUAUCAAUUCAUACCAAGGCUGUGCAAAGUAGUAUAUUCUUAGGGAAAAGAAUAAAAGCUGGCUAAAUGUCAUAGUUCUCAAAUAUUUGAGUGCUUUCAUGCCAAGGGAAUUUAGUGCUUUCAGACUGUCAUAACAAGAGUGGUAUAAAUGAGAAUCUUGACUUUUCUGGAGAUAAAUGUGGCCAUCAUUCAAAAAUUAUUUAAGAUCACUUACUUUAUACAUGAACUUAUAAGAACAUUGAUGUUCUCUCUUUACUACAAGAUGAGAAAUACAGAAAAAAAAACAUCCACCACAAGUAUCAUUUUAGAAUUUAAACCCUCCAAAAACUUAUUUGCAAUUGCCAAACAUAGCAAUCAGAACAUUUUACUCCAUACAGAGUUAUAUUUAAAUGUAAUGUUAUCUUUCAUGUUAAUAGUAAUGGUAAAGAAGUUUCAAUGUCAUUCUUUUUUUUAAACAUGCAAAUAAUCAGAUAUGCCCUGUUUAUUAAAAAUAUCUAAAGAAGACAAAUUUGUGAUAGGUUUUCCUAGAUCUGGUUAUUUAUUGUAGCUGAAAUGCAACAACAAAUCAAAAAAUGUAUAAAACCAAAGCAAAACAAACAAAAAACUGGAACGCCAAAAUUCAAAAUAGCUCUCACAAAAACUUCUAGUGCCACAAGCUGUCCAAAUAUUGCAUCUGAUAUCAAAGGAAUUUCUCAUCAUUCUGAAACAAAUCUUUCAGAGAACUAGGGGUACAUUUUUUGGAGAAGAAAAAGGGUCUUCUGGACAUGUACCACUUGAAACUCAACUUCAUACAAUCAAGCCUUUCAUGCUCUACUGGGUAGAAACUUCUGCAAAUACUAUUAAAAUCAUUUAAAAAAAAAAAAAAGAUGAUGAGUACUCUUGGAUGUCUUGGAUGUUCACCUUUAACAUUAUAAGAUUCAAUUUGUUUAAUAUAUAAUAAUAAAUUUAAGUAAUUUGAUCAAAUAUGUUAUUUGAAAUUUUUGUUUAAGAAAUAUCAGAAAUUUACUACGAAGUUCCAGCUAUUCAGCGUCUUUAAAGGGCAAAAGAACUAUGAUGAUUAUUUAGAUUGACAUUUUAACCGAAUAUCAAACACAGCAUAUUUUUCAAAUGCAGUAAUUCAUAGUUGAAGUAGAACACUGUUUUAUAAAGGCAGUAUUUUGGAGUGCAACAGGCCCUAGCUAGCUGCUAGCUGGUGGAGGGAAGGGAUUGUCCUUCUUUGCAGCCUCAUUUUGAGAACUGUGUGUAAUUCUGGACACCACGAUAUAAGGACAUAUGAAUAAAGAA